CUACGGAGGGUGCAAGCGUUAAUCGGAAUUACUGGGCGUAAAGGGUUCGUAGGCGGUUAUUUAAGUCAGAUGUGAAAGCCCCGGGCUCAACCUGGGAAUUGCAUCUGAUACUGGGUAACUAGAGUUUAAGAGAGGAGUGUGGAAUUUCCGGUGUAGCGGUGAAAUGCAUAGAGAUCGGAAGGAACAUCAGUGGCGAAGGCGGCACUCUGGCUUAAAACUGACGCUGAGGAACGAAAGCGUGGGUAGCAAACAGGAUUAGAAACCCUAGUAGUCC
rnacentral:rRNA from 1 species